GUGAUCUCCUACUGUAUCAUAGGUCUAUAGACCAGGGGGAUCUCCUACUGUACAUAGGUCAUAGACCAGGGUGAUCUCCUACUGUAUCUAGUCUAUAGACCAGGGUGAUCUCCUACUGUAUCAUAGGUCUAUAGACCAGGGUGAUCUCCUACUGUAUCAUCUAUGCCGGUAUCCUAGUAUAGUCAAAGACCAGGGUGAUCUCCUACUGUAUCAAGGUCAAUAGACUUGUCUUCUCAAAACAGACUUAAAAAAAACACAAUCAACAAACAAACAUUUUCUGUUAAUGCUGUUAAUGCUUUUCACUCAGGAAGGUUUGUUGUGUGAAAGAGACAAAUAAAUAUUGUGGAGAGACUAACAACAACUUACACUCCUCAAUACAGGUGUGUGUGAUUCAUAGUGCCCACCGUAACAAACAGAUAUAAAUAAUUUGUAGCAAACAUUGCACAGCGUUAGAGUAAACUGUUUUUUUUAAUGUGGACUAAUGAAUACGAAUAUAUUUUUUUUUAGGUCGUUUUUUUAAACUAUGAAUACGGCCUUGGAGCCUUGGAGGCUGUUGAUGCCUGCCUGAUGCACGUAGCCUACGACUCGGCUGUUGAUGCGCUUCCACGACUCGGCGUGAUCCUGCCUAUGCACUUAGCCUACGACUCGCUGUUGAUGCCUGCCUGAUGCAGUAGCCUACGACUCGGGCUUUGAUGCCUGCCUGAGGCACGUACCUACACUCGGCUUGUUGAUUGCCUGCCGCUGAUGCACGGAGCCUACGACUCGGCUGUUGAUGCUGCUGAUGCACGUAGCCUACGACUCGGCUGUUGAUGCCUGAUGCACGUAGCCUAGAUGCAAUCAGAUUACUGGUUUCUAAAGUUAGCCAGCUCAGUUAGCUUCACAUUCCAGCUGAGGCCUCAUCCAUCAGAAAUACAGAACACAACAGAAAAAUCUCAAUGACUUGACAUGUUCUGGUUGUGAAUUCAGGCUACAAGGGGCCAGUGCUCUAAAAUGAGUCUCUCUGGGGAGAGAGAGGAGGGGGACCCUGCCUCUAAAAUGAGUGUCUCUGGGGAGAGAGAGGGGGUCCCUGCCUCUAAAAUGAGUCUCUCUGGGGAGAGAGAGGAGGGGGGCCCUGCCUCUAAAAUGAGUCUCUCUGGUGAACAUGACACCAAAGCUAAGAGUCCAAUCAAGCAGGAGAGACCAGCCUCCCCUGUUCCAGCUGUGUGUCCAUGAGAGUGACGGUCUAUGGAACCUAUAGGUUUAGAGGGGAGACUUUCUAUACUGAACAAAGGUAAGAAGAACUCAUGGGUCCUGGUCAGUGAGGUUAAACAACACUGUCUCUAGUCAUUUCUCCUCUCCCAUUUCCCAUUUAUUGUUGUUGUUUUCUAUCCAUAGGCUAAUCAUUUUGUCUAUUUUCAUAGUCUUAAACAAAAUUAAACAAACACAACAUCCCUCCUCCCUCCGUGUGUGUGUGUGUGUGUGUGUGUGUGUGUGUGUGUUUGUGUGUGUGUGUGUGUGGUGUGUGUGUGUGUGUGUGUGUGUGUGUGUGUGUGUGUGUGUGUGUGUGUAUUGUGUGUGUGUGUGUGUGUGUGUGCGCUCCCUGGGUGAGGAGAUGUAACCUCCAUCCUGAUUGCCUAGUCCUUUUUCCCCGAAACUACAUUGGUCAAUAUUACCUCAACUCUGUACCCUGACAUUGACUCAGUACUGGAUCCUUAUAGUCUCAUUAUUACCUCAACUACCUGGUACCCUGCACAUUGACUCAGUACUGGUUACUCCUUAUAGUCUCAUUAUACCCAACUACUGGUACCCUUGCACAUUGACCAGUAUGGUAUCCUUAUGUCUAUUAUACCCAAUACUGGACCCUGCACAUUGACUCCGUUACUGUACUCCUUAUAGUCUCAUUAUUACCUCAGCUACCUGGUACCCUGCACAUUUACUCGUACUGGUUCUCCUUAUAGUCUCAUUAUUCGCGUCAACGAGGUCUAGAAGUCAGUUCUAUUUUGUGCGCAUCUUCGCGCUGCAUCUCCUCAUUGGUUUUCGAAGCAGGUACCACGUGCCAUCUCUCUCAUUGGUUUAUAGAAGCAGGUUACCCAGUGCCAUCUCCUAUGGUUUAUAGAAGCAGGUACCCACGUGCCAUCUCCUCAUUGGUUUAUGAAUGCAGGUACCCACGUGCAUCUCCUCAUUUAGCAAAAAAACAUAACUACUUAACAUAAACAUUAACUUCUUUAAACAAUAAAAGCCUAAUUAUGAACAUUUCUGAAAAUGGAUAAAUAGCUUUUUGUAAUGAAACUCUUCUUGUUUCCCCAUCUGAGCUCAGGUAGAUGAGAGAUGUAAUGUUUGUCUCUGUUGUGUUGAAGCAAUCAAGCAGGAGAGACCAGCCUCCCCGUUCCCAGCUGUGUGUCCAUGAAGAGUGACGGUCUAUGGGAACCUCUAAGUUUAGAGAGGGAGACUUUUUCUGAACAAAGGUAAGAAGAACUCAUGGGUCCUGGUCAGUGAGUUAAACAACACUGUCUCUAUCAUUCUCCUCUCCCAUUUUCCAUUUAUUGUUGUUGUUUUCAUAUCCAUAGGCUAAUCCUUUUUUUCAUUUUCAUAGUCUUAAAACAAAUUAAAACAAACACAAAAUUCCCCUCCCCUGUGUGUGUGUGUGUUGUGGUGUGUGUGUGUGGUGUGUGGUGGUGUGGUGUGUGUGUGUGUGUUUGUGUGGUGUGUGUGUGUGUGUGUGUGUGUGUGUACUCCCUGGAUGAGGAGAUGUAAUCUCAUGUUUUGUCCACAGAAACCAACGAGAGAUCAGAGUCAGAGAUUCUCAGUGGUCAGUCUUCCCAGAGUCAUCAAAACAGACCUGGCCUCCAUAUUCAGUGUAUGUGGUCCUGUUAUGUACAUUUGUUUUUGUUUACCUAAGUAAAGUUGAUCUGUCAAUCAUUCAUUAUGUGUUAAUGAGAAAGCUUUUUCUCUUGCUUAAUCUUUACUUGAUUAUUCCAGGCUUGAAGAGAAAUAUUAUGACAUUGUGAAGACGAGCUGAAGAUGUUCAAGAGGAUUCUUAGUCCAGAACUCCCAGAAGGCUUGAGAGUCAGAAGCAGGAAGGUGGACCCUGAGAUGCGAAGGGAGAGCAGUGCCAGAGAGGGGGCUUGAAGAUCACACUGCACAUCCUGAGGAAACAAACCAGAAGGAGCUUGCUGACACACUGGAGCAAUGUAAGAUCUGUCUGCCUAUGAUGAUUAUGUUUUAUAACAUUUAAAAGCUGUAGCUAAAGUACAGCUAAAGUAGCUGUGUAACUCAAUGAUAUUGUAGCAGCCUUACUAUGCGGUCGACCGAUUAUGAUUUUUCGACGCAGAUACCGAACCGAUUA
ensembl:lncRNA